rnacentral:misc_RNA from 1 species
AACGCACAUUGCGCCCGCUAGUAUUCUGGCGGGCAUGCCUGUUCGAGCGUCAUUUCAACCCUCAGACCCCCCGAGCAAUCGGGGCGGGCUGGUGUUGGGGAACGGCCCCGCUCUGCGGAGGCCGGCCCCGAAAUUCAGUGGCGGUCUCGCCGCAGCCUCCCCUGCGUAGUAGCACACCUCGCACCGGAGAGCGGCGCGGCCACGCCGUGAAACCCCCCACUUUUUCAGGUUGACCUCGAAUCAGGUAGGAAUACCCGCUGAACUUAA